UACGUAGGGUGCGAGCGUUAGUCGGAAUUACUGGGCGUAAAGCGUGCGCAGGCGGUCUGUUAAGACCGAUGUGAAAUCCCCGGGCUUAACCUGGGAACUGCAUUGGUGACUGGCAGGCUUUUGAGUGUGGCAGAGGGAGGUAGAAUUCCCACGUGUAGCAGUGAAAUGCGUAGAGAUGUGGAGGAACACCGAUGGCGAAGGCAAUCCCCUGGGCCUGCACUGACGCUCAUGCACGAAAGCGUGGG
rnacentral:rRNA from 1 species